GGCCUACCAUGGUGGUAACGGGUAACGGGGAAUUAGGGUUCGAUUCCGGAGAGGGAGCCUGAGAAACGGCUACCACAUCCAAGGAAGGCAGCAGGCGCGCAAAUUACCCAAUCCCGACACGGGGAGGUAGUGACAAUAAAUAACAAUACGGGGCUCUUUCGGGUCUCGUAAUUGGAAUGAGUACAAUUUAAAUCCCUUAACGAGGAACAAUUGGAGGGCAAGUCUGGUGCCAGCAGCCGCGGUAAUUCCAGCUCCAAUAGCGUAUAUUAAAGUUGUUGCAGUUAAAAAGCUCGUAGUUGAAUUUCGGGAUUGACACAUCGGUCGUGCCUUAAGGGGUAUGAACUGGUGUAGUCAAUUUCUCACCUUCUGGAGAACCACGAUGCCCUUAAUUGGGUGUCGCGGGGAACCAGGACCUUUACUUUGAAAAAAUUAGAGUGUUUAAAGCAGGCAUUUUGCUUGAAUACAUUAGCAUGGAAUAAUAAAAUAGGACGGCAUGAUUCUAUUUUGUUGGUUUCUAGGAUCACCGUAAUGAUUAAUAGGGAUAGUUGGGGGCAUUAGUAUUCAAUUGUCAGAGGUGAAAUUCUUGGAUUUAUUGAAGACUAACUACUGCGAAAGCAUUUGCCAAGGAUGUUUUCAUUAAUCAAGAACGAAAGUUAGGGGAUCGAAGGCGAUCAGAUACCGUCGUAGUCUUAACCAUAAACUAUGCCGACUAGGAAUCAGACGAUGUUAAUUUUUUAUGACUCGUUUGGCACCUUACG
rnacentral:rRNA from 1 species